rnacentral:misc_RNA from 1 species
GCAACUUUAUCGAUGGUGCUAGCUUUGAUUUUGCAUUUUGAGCCCCGCUAUGGACAGACAAAUAUACUGGUUUAUUUGGGAAUCUGUUCCUUAAUGGGUUCAUUCACGAUUGUCAGCAUAAAGGCUAUUGGAAUUGCGAUAAAACUUACUUUGGAAGGAAUUAGUCAAGUUGCUUAUCCUCCGACAUGGUUUUUUCUUUCUGUUGCAGUGAUAUGCGUCAUCACACAGCUAAAUUACCUUAAUAAGGCACUGGAUACAUUCAACACCGCAAUUGUCUCUCCAAUAUAUUAUGUAAUGUUCACCACAAUGACCAUCAUUGCAAGUGCAAUAAUGUUCAAG